rnacentral:misc_RNA from 1 species
GUGAACCUGCGGAAGGAUCAUUAUUGAAUAUGCUUGAUGGGUUGUCGCUGGCCCCUCGGGGCAUGUGCACGCCUGUCUUGACUCUAUUCAUCCACCUGUGCACCUUUUGUAGUCUUGAAACACUUUUCUGAGGGCUUAAUCGAGGAAGCAGCUGCUCGGUCGAAAGGCCGGAUUUGAGGAUUGCUGUGGUCGAAAGACUCUUGGCUCUCUUCUGUUUACAAAAGCCGCGGAAUCGUUGCCUUUUGGAAAGCUUCGGGGCUAUGUCUUAUAUCACAAACCAUGUAGUAUGUUGCCAGAAUGUAUUCAAUGGGCCUUUGUGCCUAUAAAACCAUAUACAACUUUCAGCAACGGAUCUCUUGGCUCUCGCAUCGAUGAAGAACGCAGCGAAAUGCGAUAAGUAAUGUGAAUUGCAGAAUUCAGUGAAUCAUCGAAUCUUUGAACGCACCUUGCGCUCCUUGGUAUUCCGAGGAGCAUGCCUGUUUGAGUGUCAGUAAAUUCUCAACUCCUUCAGCUUUUGUGGCUGACUGGGGCUUGGAUGUGGAGGUCUUGCGGGCCCGCAUGGGUCGGCUCCUCUGAAAUGCAUUAGCGGAACCGUUUGCGAUCCGUCAACUGGUGUGAUAAUUAUCUACGCCUAGUGGGUCGCUCUCUGACUUGUUCAGCUGCCAACCGUCCGGUGAAACGGACAAACUUCAUUACUGAACCUUUGACCUCAAAUCAGGUAGGACUACCCGCUGAACUUAAGCAUAUC